rnacentral:rRNA from 1 species
GUGACUGCGUACCUUUUGUAUAAUGGGUCAGCGACUUAUAUUCUGUAGCAAGGUUAACCGUAUAGGGGAGCCGUAGGGAAACCGAGUCUUAACCGGGCGUUAAGUUGCAGGGUAUAGACCCGAAACCCGGUGAUCUAGCCAUGGGCAGGUUGAAGGUUGGGUAACACUAACUGGAGGACCGAACCGACUAAUGUUGAAAAAUUAGCGGAUGACCUGUGGCUGGGGGUGAAAGGCCAAUCAAACCGGGAGAUAGCUGGUUCUCCCCGAAAGCUAUUUAGGUAGCGCCUCGUGAAUUCAUCUCCGGGGGUAGAGCACUGUUUCGGCUAGGGGGCCAUCCCGGCUUACCAACCCGAUGCAAACUGCGAAUACCGGAGAAUGUUAUCACGGGAGACACACGGCGGGUGCUAACGUCCGUCGUGAAGAGGGAAACAACCCAGACCGCCAGCUAAGGUCCCAAAGUCAUGGUUAAGUGGGAAACGAUGUGGGAAGGCCCAGACAGCCAGGAUGUUGGCUUAGAAGCAGCCAUCAUUUAAAGAAAGCGUAAUAGCUCACUGGUCGAGUCGGCCUGCGCGGAAGAUGUAACGGGGCUAAACCAUGCACCGAAGCUGCGGCAGCGACGCUGAUGCGUUGUUGGGUAGGGGAGCGUUCUGUAAGCCUGCGAAGGUGACCUGUGAGGGUUGCUGGAGGUAUCAGAAGUGCGAAUGCUGACAUAAGUAACGAUAAAGCGGGUGAA